rnacentral:pre_miRNA from 1 species
UAAGUACUCCCUCCGUUCCAAAUUACUCGUCGCAGAAAUGGAUCUAGAACUAAAAUACAUCUAGAUACAUCCAUACCCGCGACAAGUAAUUCGGAACGGAGGGAGUAUAUG